ACAGAAUUAUAUUUAGCUGUAGCUUUGCAUGAUCAAAUCAAUAAUAAUAGUAGUAUAUCUGAGCUGGAAUUGAAAGCUAAUGUAAGUGAACUUGACAACUCACUGAUUUUUUUCCUUACUGUUUUACUCUCUGUUUAUUUGCAGAAUGACUGCGUAGUUUGAUGAGAUGUAUGCACGACCACAGUACUAGUAUAUUGAUUAGCUAAUCUACCUAGUUGUGAUGGC
rnacentral:lncRNA from 1 species